UAUUGGCUGUCUGUGUGGGUGGCGGCUUCUGCUCUGACCUCAGAGGGGCCCCUGCACAUAAAAGCAGCUAGACAGCUCCUGUGACUCACAAUCACAUAAGGCUGAUGAAGGAUGUGGAAGCUGUUACUUCUGUCUGCCAUGAUGGGGGUGUUGGAGUCAAAGGAGGAGCCUUCUAGAGGCCACCUGCAGCUCCGGGCCCUUCACUGUCCGCCCUGUGAAAGGAUUCACUGCUCCAGCCGAUGGGCUCUACGGCUGCAGUGCAAAGGUGGAGUCACCACGGGUGUCUGUGGGUGCUGCCCAGUGUGUGCCAGGAUGGAGGGGGAGACCUGCGGGGGUGCCUGGCACUACCUGGGGAAGUGUGACCAGGGACUUGUGUGUGUGGACCAGGCUGGAGAGGGUGAGCGCAGAGGGGUGUGUAAGACAGUGAUUGAGCAGCAGGACUUAGAGCGUUGCCAUCCAGAGUGCACCAAGGAAUACUGCCAGCAACACUCUUUGAAAAUCUGCUCUGCCAGAUUGGUGUCUCUGAUGAAAAAACCCUGUCAUGGUUCCUGUGUGCACACCUCCUGUUCGAGCUGCUUCCUGCUGCAGUGCCCGACCUGUUCUCACUCCUGCAGCCCGUCUGACUCUUCCUGCAUGCACCGCUUUGGAAAGUGUGUGCACAGCCACCUGGCAGCCACAAACAGUUGUGUAUGCCACAGCACAUUGCAGGCUGACAGUGAUGGACACUUUGUGUGUUUGGUCCCGGCUUGUGAAAGUGCAUCAAAGUAG
rnacentral:lncRNA from 1 species